rnacentral:rRNA from 1 species
GAGUUUGAUCAUGGCUCAGAAUCAACGCUGGCGGCGUGCCUCAGACAUGCAAGUCGAACGCGAAAGGUUCCUUCGGGAACCGAGUAGAGUGGCGCACGGGUGAGUAACACGUAGGUAAUUUGCCUUUGGGUGGGGAAUAACUCAGGGAAACUUGAGCUAAUACCGCAUAAUGCAGCGGCUCGACAUCGAGACAGUUGUUAAAGCGGGGGAUCGCAAGACCUCGCGCCUAAAGAGAAGCCUGCGGCAGAUUAGACUAGUUGGUAGGGUAAUGGCCUACCAAGGCAACGGAUCUGUAACCGGCCUGAGAGGGCGGUCGGUCACACUGACACUGACAUACGGGUCAGACUCCUACGGGAGGCAGCAGUCGGAAUUUUGGGCAAUGGGCGAAAGCCUGACCCAGCAACGCCGCGUGAAGGAUCGAAAUCCCUCGGGAUGUAAACUUCGCGAAGAACAGGAAGAAUAAGUAGAAGCUAAUACCUUCUAUGAUGA